GGCGACCCGUCUGUCUCAUUCUUUUUUUCUUUUUUAAAUGUAACCUGGUUUAUUGGGCUCUCGGCGUAUUCUUGCGUUCCUUCUGCACUGGGACAAGACACCACUGCACUAUUGGACUACGGCAAGCUGGUACCGUCCGGUGGAGCUUCAUACAGGAACUACUGCCUUACCUGCUGGUGUCACAACGUUGGAUGAACGCACAAAAAGCGCGGAACGAGCUUUUAUAUAUAGCAAAAUAAAUAUUUCCUCAUUGCACAAA